rnacentral:rRNA from 1 species
GACGAACGCUGGCGGCGCGCUUAACACAUGCAAGUCGAGCGGUAAGGCCCUUUCGGGGGUACACGAGCGGCGAACGGUGAGUAACACGUGGGUGACCUGCCCUCAGCUCUGGGAUAAGCCUGGGAAACCGGGUCUAAUACUGGAUAUGACUCCAUGACGCAUGUUGUGGGGUGGAAAGCCUUGUGCGGCUGAGGAUGGGCCCGCGGCCUAUCAGCUUGUUGGU